rnacentral:misc_RNA from 1 species
GAUGAAGAACGUAGCGAAAUGCGAUACUUGGUGUGAAUUGCAGAAUCCCGUGAACCAUCGAGUCUUUGAACGCAAGUUGCGCCCGAAGUCUUUUAGACCGAGGGCACGCCUGCCUGGGCGUCACACACAGCGUCGCCCCCCACCAACCCGUUGGCUGGGGGACGGAAACUGGCCCCCCGAGCCCCCACGGGCACGGCCGGCACAAAUGUUGGUCCUCGGCGGCGAGCGUCGCGGCAAUCGGUGGUUGUCCAACCCUCGGUGCCAUGCUGCGCGCGCUAGCCGCUCACUGUUACUCGACGACCCCAAUGCGUCGUAGCCACGACGCUCACAACGCGACCCCAGGUCAGGCGGGGCUACCCGCUGAGUUUAAGCAUAUCAAUAAGCGGGGA